rnacentral:rRNA from 1 species
UGUGAGCUCGAUGAGUAGGGCGGGACACGUGGUAUCCUGUCUGAAUAUGGGGGGACCAUCCUCCAAGGCUAAAUACUCCUGACUGACCGAUAGUGAACCAGUACCGUGAGGGAAAGGCGAAAAGAACCCCGGCGAGGGGAGUGAAAAAGAACCUGAAACCGUGUACGUACAAGCAGUGGGAGCACGCUUAGGCGUGUGACUGCGUACCUUUUGUAUAAUGGGUCAGCGACUUAUAUUCUGUAGCAAGGUUAACCGAAUAGGGGAGCCGAAGGGAAACCGAGUCUUAACUGGGCGUUAAGUUGCAGGGUAUAGACCCGAAACCCGGUGAUCUAGCCAUGGGCAGGUUGAAGGUUGGGUAACACUAACUGGAGGACCGAACCGACUAAUGUUGAAAAAUUAGCGGAUGACUUGUGGCUGGGGGUGAAAGGCCAAUCAAACCGGGAGAUAGCUGGUUCUCCCCGAAAGCUAUUUAGGUAGCGCCUCGUGAAUUCAUCUCCGGGGGUAGAGCACUGUUUCGGCAAGGGGGUCAUCCCGACUUACCAACCCGAUGCAAACUGCGAAUACCGGAGAAUGUUAUCACGGGAGACACACGGCGGGUGCUAACGUCCGUCGUGAAGAGGGAAACAACCCAGACCGCCAGCUAAGGUCCCAAAGUCAUGGUUAAGUGGGAAACGAUGUGGGAAGGCCCAGACAGCCAGGAUGUUGGCUUAGAAGCAGCCAUCAUUUAAAGAAAGCGUAAUAGCUCACUGGUCGAGUCGGCCUGCGCGGAAGAUGUAACGGGGCUAAACCAUGCACCGAAGCUGCGGCAGCGACGCUGAUGCGUUGUUGGGUAGGGGAGCGUUCUGUAAGCCUGUGAAGGUGUACUGUGAGGUAUGCUGGAGGUAUCAGAAGUGCGAAUGCUGACAUAAGUAACGAUAAAGCGGGUGAAAAGCCCGCUCGCCGGAAGACCAAGGGUUCCUGUCCAACGUUAAUCGGGGCAGGGUGAGUCGACCCCUAAGGCGAGGCCGAAAGGCGUAGUCGAUGGGAAACAGGUUAAUAUUCCUGUACUUGGUGUUACUGCGAAGGGGGGACGGAGAAGGCUAUGUUGGCCGGGCGACGGUUGUCCCGGUUUAAGCGUGUAGGCUGGUUUUCCAGGCAAAUCCGGAAAAUCAAGGCUGAGGCGUGAUGACGAGGCACUACGGUGCUGAAGCAACAAAUGCCCUGCUUCCAGGAAAAGCCUCUAAGCAUCAGGUAACAUCAAAUCGUACCCCAAACCGACACAGGUGGUCAGGUAGAGAAUACCAAGGCGCUUGAGAGAACUCGGGUGAAGGAACUAGGCAAAAUGGUGCCGUAACUUCGGGAGAAGGCACGCUGAUAUGUAGGUGAAGUCCCUCGCGGAUGGAGCUGAAAUCAGUCGAAGAUACCAGCUGGCUGCAACUGUUUAUUAAAAACACAGCACUGUGCAAACACGAAAGUGGACGUAUACGGUGUGACGCCUGCCCGGUGCCGGAAGGUUAAUUGAUGGGGUCAGCGCAAGCGAAGCUCUUGAUCGAAGCCCCGGUAAACGGCGGCCGUAACUAUAACGGUCCUAAGGUAGCGAAAUUCCUUGUCGGGUAAGUUCCGACCUGCACGAAUGGCGUAAUGAUGGCCAGGCUGUCUCCACCCGAGACUCAGUGAAAUUGAACUCGCUGUGAAGAUGCAGUGUACCCGCGGCAAGACGGAAAGACCCCGUGAACCUUUACUAUAGCUUGACACUGAACAUUGAGCCUUGAUGUGUAGGAUAGGUGGGAGGCUUUGAAGUGUGGACGCCAGUCUGCAUGGAGCCGACCUUGAAAUACCACCCUUUAAUGUUUGAUGUUCUAACGUUGACCCGUAAUCCGGGUUGCGGACAGUGUCUGGUGGGUAGUUUGACUGGGGCGGUCUCCUCCUAAAGAGUAACGGAGGAGCACGAAGGUUGGCUAAUCCUGGUCGGACAUCAGGAGGUUAGUGCAAUGGCAUAAGCCAGCUUGACUGCGAGCGUGACGGCGCGAGCAGGUGCGAAAGCAGGUCAUAGUGAUCCGGUGGUUCUGAAUGGAAGGGCCAUCGCUCAACGGAUAAAAGGUACUCCGGGGAUAACAGGCUGAUACCGCCCAAGAGUUCAUAUCGACGGCGGUGUUUGGCACCUCGAUGUCGGCUCAUCACAUCCUGGGGCUGAAGUAGGUCCCAAGGGUAUGGCUGUUCGCCAUUUAAAGUGGUACGCGAGCUGGGUUUAGAACGUCGUGAGACAGUUCGGUCCCUAUCUGCCGUGGGCGCUGGAGAACUGAGGGGGGCUGCUCCUAGUACGAGAGGACCGGAGUGGACGCAUCACUGGUGUUCGGGUUGUCAUGCCAAUGGCACUGCCCGGUAGCUAAAUGCGGAAGAGAUAAGUGCUGAAAGCAUCUAAGCACGAAACUUGCCCCGAGAUGAGUUCUCCCUGACUCCUUGAGAGUCCUGAAGGAACGUUGAAGACGACGACGUUGAUAGGCCGGGUGUGUAAGCGCAGCGAUGCGUUGAGCUAACCGGUACUAAUGAACCGUGAGGCUUAACCUU